AAUUACAUUGUCUUCAACGUUCCAGCGAAUAGGUUUAAGCUACAAACCUAUCAGAUGUACACUGUCUCAUUGGUAAACAUGUAUCAGUCUAAUAAACUUAAACCUACACCACCCUCCCUAUUCUGGUAUUCUAAACAGUACUUAGCAGAAACCGAAAGACUGCUUGUGUAGCCGGAUGGGCUACUUGCCUUUCUUUUCUCUCUCUCGCUCGCUCGCUCUACUGCUCUCGCUCUCUCCUGCGCUCGCUCUCACUGCACAACUAGGUCAAUUGGGAACCCACCUGCAUAUUGAUUGCAGGCUGGCAUCAGGUAUAAAGCUAAGCCGGUGCUUCUCUGGACUAUUCCUCCCAUGCAUUCAGCGCAAAGCAGCAGUAAAUGCUGGCACUCUGCGACAGACUGAUCGGCAAGAGUAGAUCAUAUGACAGCCACAGCGCGGCAGUUUGUUUUAUUCCGGCGUUGUGGAGAGAGGUGCUUGUGUGAUUCCCCCACCAGUGAGAGUAUAGCGCCUCCGGUCCUGGGGGUUUGAUCGCUGCCUUCACCUCCGUGGCAACUUGCACAGCCUUGAUUGAAGAAUCAAGACGCCUGCCUAGCCGUUGUUGUGAGGGCUCCUCCUCGGUGGAGCCUGCUGUCUUGUCUGGUCUUGUUUUGUCUAUUUUGUUUUAUUCUGUUUUAUCUUCUCGUGAGACUGGUUUUAUUACAUAGGCCUACCAUUUCCUGGUUCGCCUGGUUUUAUUUUAUUUUAUCUCUGGACUGUUGCGUGUGCCCACGCUUCUGUGAUCGGGCUGAAGCAAUCCUUUGCCCGAGUGUCCUGCCAGGAAUUUUAAAUUGCCUCCGUUGCUGGUCUUAGCCUGUGGGGAGCCAGACCAGCUUGCGAUUGAGGCUGGGACAACUACUACCAGUACGAGUGGACCCGUGGGGCAUAAGCCUUCCAGUGUGUGGACGAAGGACGUGCCAGUGGCCCUGGGACCUCAGGUGUUGGGUCGUUUUCACACUUUCUUUUGUACAGCACCGGGUGGGCUGCAGUGAUUUUCAUUUUGUGUGAUUUUCUUUUGGGUCCACGGCUGCUGGUAAGUCCAAGUUCCAUGAUUGUUUUAUUUUCACUUUAGGACACUGUCAACAAUGAUGCUACAUCUUGGUUUCUAAAUAUUUUAUUUAUUUUUACUAUAAAUAAAACUGUUUUAAUAUUGGAGCCAACCUGCCUCAGUGUGCAUCCUUGAAUCUGUGCGGCCUCUUUUUUAUUCCUUUUUAUCUAUUUUUCUUAAACAUAUA